UACGUAGGGUGCGAGCGUUAAUCGGAAUGACUGGGCGUAAAGGGCGCGUAGGCGGUUUAGACAGUCAGAUGUGAAAUUCCCGGGCUUAACCUGGGGGCUGCAUUUGAUACGUCUAGGCUUGAGUGAGGAAGAGGGUUGUGGAAUUCCCAGUGUAGAGGUGAAAUUCGUAGAUAUUGGGAAGAACACCAGUGGCGAAGGCGGCUCACUGGCCCGUAACUGACGCUGAGGAGCGAAAGCGUGGGGAGCGAACAGG
rnacentral:rRNA from 1 species